AGGGGCAAUGGUGCUGGUGCGCCCGACGGUCUUCAAAACCGUUCGUCACGACUGCAAAUCGUGGAGGAGGUUCGAUUCCCCUUGCCCCUUCCA
rnacentral:tRNA from 1 species